rnacentral:rRNA from 1 species
ACGGAAUAGAUACCCUGGUAGUCCACGCCCUAAACGAUGUCUACUAGUUGUCGGGGAUUCAUUUCCUUGGUAAACGCAGCUAAACGCGUGAAGUAGACCGCCUGGGGAGUACGGCCGCAAGGUUAAAACUCAAAGGAAUUGACGGGGACCCGCACAAGCGGUGGAUGACGUGGAUUAAUUCGAUGCAACGCGAAAAACCUUACCUACGCUUGACAUGCCAGGAACUUUCCAGAGAUGGAUUGGUGCCCGAAAGGGAACCUGGACACAGGUGCUGCAUGGCUGUCGUCAGCUCGUGUCGUGAGAUGUUGGGUUAAGUCCCGCAACGAGCGCAACCCUUAUCCUUAGUUGCUACGCAAGGGCACUCUAGGGAGACUGCCGGUGAC